rnacentral:lncRNA from 1 species
CUUGAAGGAAAUUUUGUGAAAAACAUGUUCAUUUGAGCAACAUCUAUGGCAUGCAAUUAACAAUUAAAGGCGGAAUCAUGCUUGUAUGCACUCAAAAACAAAACAUUACCCAUGAAAUUCAAAGCCUGGUAGAAGGGUGAACCAAGACUCAACUCAAACAAAGUGAGUUGAGAAACUUUAUACCUUUGUUGAUUCCUCUUUUCAUAAGCAAAGGCUAAUCACCCAAGGAGAGGGCCUUCAUUCUUGCUUCUUAGCUCCAUGGAUUUCUUGGAUGAGGAUGAUUGAAAGGAUUCUCCAAGUUCCCAAAGUUGAGAACCUCUAAGUCUCCACACCAAGGUAUGACUUGAAGAAGAGAUGAGUGACCUAGAGGAAGUAAGAUUGCUAGCUAAAAUCCUCUAGGGUGGCCGGCCUCUUAGAGAGAAAAAUGGAGCUUGUGUUCUCAUCUUUUCUCUAAAAGAAACCCUAAGGAUGAAAUGGCUCUAAAGUUGCCUUUAUACCACCUCACAAUGGAGUGGCAAACUUGCAAUUAAGCCAAGUUCACUACCCCUCUCUAUAUGGCAGGUUUUCCCAAGCCUUUGGGCUGUUUUGGGCUUCUCAAAUUUUGUUUGUUAAGUUGUCAUACAACUUAAGCUAAUGGGCUUGACAAUUCGAAGCCCAAUUUGGGCUUUAAGGCCCAAAACUAACUCAAGGUUUAAAACGAACUUAUUCAUUUGAUUAAUUAACAUAUUAAUUAAUUCUUUCCAUAAACAAUUAAACCAUUUAAUUGUCCUUACUCAUCUCCAUUGUUUCUUCAAUCUCUACCUUACACGGUGUACGAUCCAUUAGGUUCCUUUUAGCGAGGUAGUGGGCGAUUAGAACUCUUUCAAAUUGAUUGUGAAUUGAAACUUACUUUCAAUUCUCCCUUUAGUGAUUAUACACAUUUAGGGCUCCACAAACCAUGAGUGACACCUAGCAGUAUGUCAUGGUUACCCAAGCUAAUCAGAAGAGGUGGAUAACCUAUUCAGUUUAGGAUUACAAUGCAAUACGGUCUUUCUCUAAUACAAUACUCUUGACCACAUUGUUUGGUUU